UACGUAGGGCGCAAGCGUUGUCCGGAAUUAUUGGGCGUAAAGAGCUCGUAGGUGGUCUGUCGCGUCUGCUGUGAAAACUCAGGGCUUAACCCUGAGCUUGCAGUGGGUACGGGCAGACUAGAGUGCGGUAGGGGAGACUGGAAUUCCUGGUGUAGCGGUGAAAUGCGCAGAUAUCAGGAGGAACACCGGUGGCGAAGGCGGGUCUCUGGGCCGUAACUGACGCUGAGGAGCGAAAGCAUGGGGAGCGAACAGG
rnacentral:rRNA from 1 species